ACGCUAUCACAUUGAAAUACCGGUUCCCGUACGAUCACCGAAGUUAAGCAAUCUCGAGCGUGGUCAGUGUCUAGAUGGGUGACCGCUUGGGAAUACCAGAUGCUGUAA